rnacentral:rRNA from 1 species
UACGGAGGGUGCAAGCAUUGAUCGGAAUUACUGGGCGUAAAGGGUGCGUAGGCGGCUGGAAAAGUCAGAUGUGAAAUCCCACGGCUCAACUGUGGGGCUGCAUUUGAAACUUUCUAGCUAGAGCAUAGUUAGGGAAAACGGAAUUCCACGUGUAGCGGUGAAAUGCGUAGAUAUGUGGAAGAACACCGGUGGUGAAGACGGUUUUCUGGACUAGAGCUGACGCUGAGGCACGAAAGCUAGGGGAGCAAACAGG